rnacentral:tRNA from 2 species
GGAGGGAUGCGAGAGCGGUCGAAUCGGGCAGUCUUGAAAACUGCUGGGCUUGCGGGUCCCGUGGGUUCGAAUCCCACUCCCUCCGCCA